GCGGAAGUAGCUCAGUGGUAGCGCAUCGCCUUGCAAAGGCGAGGGUCGCGAGUUCGAAUCUCGUCUUACGCUCCA
rnacentral:tRNA from 1 species